rnacentral:rRNA from 1 species
AACGAACGCUGGCGGCAUGCCUAACACAUGCAAGUCGAACGAGACCUUCGGGUAUAGUGGCGCACGGGUGCGUAACGCGUGGGAACCUGCCCUUAGGUUCGGAAUAACUCCCCGAAAGGGGUGCUAAUACCGGAUAAUGUCUUCGGACCAAAGAUUUAUCGCCUUUGGAUGGGCCCGCGUUGGAUUAGCUAGUUGGUAGGGUAAAAGCCUACCAAGGCGACGAUCCAUAGCUGGUCUGAGAGGAUGAUCAGCCACACUGGGACUGAGACACGGCCCAGACUCCUACGGGAUGCAGCAGUGGGGAAUAUUGGACAAUGGGCGAAAGCCUGAUCCAGCAAUGCCGCGUGAGUGAUGAAGGCCUUAGGGUUGUAAAGCUCUUUUACCCGGGAUGAUAAUGGCAUUACCGGGAGAAUAAGCUCCGGCUAACUCCGUG